GACGAACGCUGGCGGCGUGCUUAACACAUGCAAGUCGAGCGGUAAGGCCCUUUCGGGGGUACACGAGCGGCGAACGGGUGAGCAACACGUGGGUGACCUGCCCUCAGCUCUGGGAUAAGCCUGGGAAACCGGGUCUAAUACCGGAUAUGACUCCAUGACGCAUGUUGUGGGGUGGAAAGCCUUGUGCGGCUGAGGAUGGGCCCGCGGCCUAUCAGCUUGUU
rnacentral:rRNA from 1 species